UACGGGGGGUGCGAGCGUUGUCCGGAAUCACUGGGCGUAAAGGGCGCGUAGGUGGUCUGAUAAGGGUGUGGUGAAAGCCCGGGGCUCAACCCCGGGUCGGCCGUGCCGACUGUUGGACUAGAGUGCUGUAGGGGCAGGCGGAAUUCCGGGUGUAGCGGUGAAAUGCGUUGAUAUCGGAAGGAACGCCGGCGGCGAAAGCGGCUUGCUGGACCCCUCCUGACGCUGAGGCGCGAAAGCCAGGGGAGCGAACGGG
rnacentral:rRNA from 1 species